GAGUUUGAUCCUGGCUCAGAUUGAACGCUGGCGGCAUGCCUUACACAUGCAAGUCGAACGGUAACAGGUCUUUCGGGAUGCUGACGAGUGGCGAACGGGUGAGUAAUACAUCGGAACGUGCCUAGUAGUGGGGGAUAACUACUCGAAAGAGUGGCUAAUACCGCAUGAGAUCUAUGGAUGAAAGCAGGGGACCUUCGGGCCUUGUGCUACUAGAGCGGCCGAUGGCAGAUUAGGUAGUUGGUGGGAUAAAAGCUUACCAAGCCUACGAUCUGUAGCUGGUCUGAGAGGACGAUCAGCCACACUGGGACUGAGACACGGCCCAGACUCCUACGGGAGGCAGCAGUGGGGAAUUUUGGACAAUGGGCGCAAGCCUGAUCCAGCAAUGCCGCGUGCAGGAUGAAGGCCUUCGGGUUGUAAACUGCUUUUGUACGGAACGAAAAGUCUUGGGUUAAUACCCUGGGAUCAUGACGGUACCGUAAGAAUAAGCACCGGCUAACUACGUGCCAGCAGCCGCGGUAAUAC
rnacentral:rRNA from 1 species